GAUGAACGCUGGCGGCGUGCCUAAUACAUGCAAGUCGAGCGAACAGAUGAGGAGCUUGCUCCUCUGACGUUAGCGGCGGACGGGUGAGUAACACGUGGAUGACCUACCUAUAAGACUGGGAUAACUUCGGGAAACCGGAGCUAAUACCGGAUAAUAUAUUGAACCGCAUGGUUCAAUAGUGAAAGACGGUUUUGCUGUCACUUAUAGAUGGAUCCGCGCCGCAUUAGCUAGUUGGUAAGGUAACGGCUUACCAAGGCAACGAUGCGUAGCCGACCUGAGAGGGUGAUCGGCCACACUGGAACUGAGACACGGUCCAGACUCCUACGGGAGGCAGCAGUAGGGAAUCUUCCGCAAUGGGCGAAAGCCUGACGGAGCAACGCCGCGUGAGUGAUGAAGGUCUUCGGAUCGUAAAACUCUGUUAUUAGGGAAGAACAAAUGUAUAAGUAACUAUGCACGUCUUGACGGUACCUAAUCAGAAAGCCACGGCUAACUACGUG
rnacentral:rRNA from 1 species